rnacentral:rRNA from 1 species
GAUGAACGCUGGCGGCGUGCCUAACACAUGCAAGUCGAACGGAAAGACCAGGAGCUUGUUCUGCUGUCGUUAGCGGCGGGCGGGUGAGUAACGCGUGGAUCACCUACCUAUUAUUCUGGGAUAACUUCGGAACACCGGAUAUUAUACCGGAUAAUAUAUUGUACCGCAGGGUGCAGUAGUGAGUGACGGCUUUGCUGUUAGUAGUAGAUGGUGCCGGGCCGGAUUAUCUAGUUGGUGAGGUAACGGCUUACCAAGGCAACGAUGCGUAGCCGACCGGAGGGGGUGAUCGGCCACACGGGAACUGAGACCCGGUCCAGACUCCUACGGGAGGCAGCAGUAGGGAAUGUUACGCAAUGGGCGAAAGCUUGACGGAGCAACGGCGCGUGAGUGAUGAAGGUCUUCGGAUCGGAAAGCUCUGUUACUAGGGAAGAACAAAUGUGUAAGUAGCUGUGCACGUCUUGACGGUACCUAAUCAAGAAGCAACGGCUAACUACGUG